ensembl:lncRNA novel transcript, antisense to COL5A3
GCACUGUAUCUUGUGGUCCUGGGGGAAGGCUAUUCCCAUCCUAUCCUGCCCUAUCUCCACAAGUCUCACCUGUGGCCCUUCUGCUCCCUCCUCUCCUUUCAGACCUGGAUGCCCGGGGAGACCCUUGGGGGAGGAGAGAUGGAGGAGUGUGGGUAGAUGAUUCUUCACUAAUGCAUGCACCGCCCCCUCCACGCAGUCGCCUUACUCACCACAGGGCCUGGGCGCCCAGUGAGCCCCACUGGACCAGGGGGGCCUUUCAUAGAGAGCUGGAAAGACAGAGGAGUCAGAGCUUGGGGCCUCCCACAAGACCCCCAACAUUCCCCACAGAGGCAUCUUCAGGAGAAAAAUAACCCCCUUCUCCUGCCCAGCCCCUCCUUACGCCGAGGCUCUAUCACUCUCUGGGGUUCCUCCCACUAUGUCCACACCUCCCACUCACCUGAGUCUGCUGCAGAACUGCCUGAGCCUGGGCCUGCUGGAAUGAGACUGGGGGGCCUUUAAAGGAGCCGCCUGCAAACUGGAACUGGGAGGAAUUUAGUGGUGAGGGAAGCCCCCAGGAGAGGCCCCCUCCUGGAUCAGGACUCCACUCCCCAAGGCUGGGCCACUCCAUCUCCUUCUUACCGGCAUCAUGAUCACAGUGCCCGGUGGGCCUCGGAUCCCAUCAAUGCCGGGGAUUCCUGGGAGGCCAGCAGGGCCCUGAGAGAGGGAUGGGGGAAGAGAGGUGGAGACAGGGAGAGAGGGAGAGAGAGAGCGAGGACAGGGGAGGCACAGAAGGAUGAGUCAGAAAGAGAGAGAGAGGGAGAGAUGGAGAGAGACACAGAAUCAAAGAGGGAUCAUGGCAAGGAAAGAGAGAGAAGUAGAGAGAAGUGGAAAGGAAAAGACAGAGAUGGAACAGAGACAAAGAGAAGGGGAGAGAGGGAUGGAGAAGGAUGGGGGCAGAUGGAGAGACAUACAGAGACAGAAACAGAGAGACAGAGAGAGAUAGACAGAGACAGAAAAGCCAGUGAAAGACAGACAGAGAUGGAGAAAUAGAGAGAGAGGCGAACAUAGAGAGAUGGACGGAGGGAGAGGGACAGAGACCAACAGAGAGAGACAGAAGAGAGACAGAGACAGAGUCACAACAGGAGAAAGACAGAGAUAAAAGACACUCAGAAACAGAGACAGGCAAAA